UUGGAGGGCAAGUCUGGUGCCAGCAGCCGCGGUAAUUCCAGCUCCAAUAGCGUAUAUUAAAGUUGUUGCAGUUAAAAAGCUCGUAGUUGAACUUCGGGGUCUACCCAUUGGUCAGGCUUAAUUGUCUGCACUGGUGAGAUGGAUCUCUACCUUCUGAGGAACUUUCAUGCCAUUUAUUUGGUGUGAUGGGAAAUCAGGACUGUUACUUUGAAAAAAUUAGAGUGUUUAAAGCAGACUAUCGUCUGAAUACAUUAGCAUGGAAUAAUGAAAUAGGACGGACUGAUUCUAUUUCGUUGGUUUCUAGGAUCACCGUAAUGAUUAAUAGGGAUAGUUGGGGGCAUUAGUAUUCAAUUGUCAGAGGUGAAAUUCUUGGAUUUAUUGAAGACUAACUACUGCGAAAGCAUUUGCCAAGGAUGUUUUCAUUAAUCAAGAACGAAAGUUAGGGGAUCGAAGACGAUCAGAUACCGCCGUAGUCUUAACCAUAAACUAUGCCGACUAGGGAUCGGACGAAGUUAAUUUUAUAAUGACGCGUUCGGCGCCUUACGGGAAAC
rnacentral:rRNA from 1 species